GACUAACGCUGGCGGCGUGCCUAAUGCAUGCAAGUCGCACGGGGGGCUUCGGCCCCGAGUGGCGCACGGCUGAGGAACACGUGGGAACAUACCCUGGGGUGGGGGAUAACGCCGCGAGAGCGGCGCUAAUCCCGCAUACGCUUCCUGGAGACAGGAAGGAAAGGCGCAAGUCGCCCGAGGCGUGGCCCGCGGCCCAUCAGGUAGUUGGUGGGGUAAUGGCCUACCAAGCCAAUGACGGGUAGCUGGUCUGAGAGGACAGACAGCCAGACUGGGACUGAGAACGGCCCAGACUCCUACGGGAGGCAGCAGCAAGGAAUUUUCGUCAAUGGGCGCAAGCCUGAACGAGCAACGCCGCGUGGAGGAUGACGGCCUUCGGGUUGUAAACUCCUUUUGAGGUGGACGAUGAUGACGGUACACCUCGAAUCAGCCCCGGCUAACUCUGUGCCAGCAGCCGCGGUAAUAC
rnacentral:rRNA from 1 species